AGAACGAACGCUGGCGGCGCGCCUAAUACAUGCAAGUCGAGCGAGAGGACGUAGCAAUACGUUUGUAAAGCGGCGAACGGGUGAGGAAUACAUGGGUAACCUACCCUCGAGUGGGGAAUAACUAGCCGAAAGGUUAGCUAAUACCGCGUACGCUCCUUGGACUUCGGUUCAGGGAGGAAAGCGAUACCGUGGGUAUCGCGCUCUUGGAUGGGCUCAUGUCCUAUCAGCUUGUUGGUGAGGUAAUGGCUCACCAAGGCGACGAUCAGUAGCUGGUCUGAGAGGAUGGCCAGCCACAUUGGGACUGAGACACGGCCCAAACUCCUACGGGAGGCAGCAGUGGGGAAUAUUGGACAAUGGGCGAAAGCCUGAUCCAGCCAUGCCGCGUGAGUGAUGAAGGCCUUAGGGUUGUAAAGCUCUUUUACCUGGGAAGAUAAUGACGGUACCAGGAGAAUAAGCCCCGGCUAACUUCGUGCCAGCAGCCGCGGUAAUACGAAGGGGGCUAGCGUUGUUCGGAAUUACUGGGCGUAAAGCGCACGUAGGCGGAUUUUUAAGUCAGGGGUGAAAUCCCGAGGCUCAACCUCGGAACUGCCUUUGAUACUGGGAAUCUCGAGUCCGGGAGAGGUGAGUGGAACUGCGAGUGUAGAGGUGAAAUUCGUAGAUAUUCGCAAGAACACCAGUGGCGAAGGCGGCUCACUGGCCCGGUACUGACGCUGAGGUGCGAAAGCGUGGGGAGCAAACAGGAUUAGAUACCCUGGUAGUCCACGCCGUAAACGAUGGAUGCUAGCCGUUAGCAGCUUGCUGCUAAGUGGCGCAGUUAACGCUUUAAGCAUCCCGCCUGGGGAGUACGGUCGCAGAUUAA
rnacentral:rRNA from 1 species